AUUGAACGCUGGCGGCAGGCCUAACACAUGCAAGUCGAGCGAGUGGCGGACGGGUGAGUAAUGUCUGGGAAAAUGCCCGAUGGAGGGGGAUAACUACUGGAAACGGUAGCUAAUACCGCAUACCCUCUGAUGUGCCCCGAUGGGAUUAGCUUGUAGGUGAGGUAACGGCUCACAUAGGCGCCGAUCCCUAGCUGGUCUGUGAGGAUGACCAGCCACACUGGAACGGAGACACGGUCCAGACGCCUACGGGAGGCAGCAGUGGGGAAUAUUGCACAAUGGGCGCAAGCCUGAUGCAGCCAUGCCGCGUGUAUGAAGAAGGCCUUCGGGUUGUAAAGUACUUUCAGCGGGGAGGCGUUACCCGCAGAAGAAGCACCGGCUAACUCCGUGCCAGCCGCCGCGGUAAUUC
rnacentral:rRNA from 1 species